rnacentral:lncRNA from 1 species
UUAUCUUGACGCUUUAAUGAAAAUUGAUAUCCCGUAACAUGUUCAUUGUUAUGAAAAGUGAACAAAUUCAUCCAUGUCAUCUCUCGCAUUAUGUUACACUGAGUGGUAAAUGAACUCGAAUAUCAGACUUAAGAUCUUCAUAUUUACAGCUGGACAUGGGAUACACUACAAAUCUGUUUUCACUUUAAAAACGUCAAAAAUACUGAAAUACUGAAAUUCAAAAAGGAAAGUCCAUUAAUCAAAUGGCAAAAUCAAAACCCCAAACACAUCAAACUAAUAAGUAAAAACUGUCAUAUUCCUGACUUGGUACAUGCAUUUUCUUAUGUAGAAAAUGGUGGAUUUAACCUGGAUAAUAUGUAGCAAAUAAGCACAAAAUAGCAUAUAAACCCAUUGAUUAGCAAAGUACAGCCUUGAGAAUAUCAAUUCUAUCAGUAAGUUCAUUUCACCGAGAAAACCACAGUUUCACUUAAAUGUAAGUUUUACAGAAAAGGUAAUUUUCAGAAAAUCUUGGCAUUUAAUAAAAACAAAACUGCGCUUUUUGUUUAUUUGCUGAAAUAUUUUUUCAUUCAAAUAAAACGAAGGAUUAAUAUAUUUGACACAAGAGCGAAUCUAAGUUAAACAAUACAUGUAAAGGAACAGAUUUGUU